rnacentral:sRNA from 1 species
ACACUCACUUGCACCAGUGCCCAGAGAGGGGGUGCAGGCUGAGGAGCUGCCCAGAGCACCGCUCACACUCCCAGAGUACCUGAAGUCGGCAUUUCAAUGACAGGUGACAAGGGUCCCCAAAGGCUAAGCAGGUCCAGCUAUGGCUCCAUCUCCAGCCCGACCAGCCCGACCAGCCCAGGGCCACAGAAAGCACCUCCCAGAGAGACCUACCUGAGUGAGAAGAUCCCCAUCCCAGACACAAAACCGGGCACCUUCAGCCUGCGGAAGCUAUGGGCCUUCACGGGGCCUGGCUUCCUCAUGAGCAUUGCUUUCCUGGACCCAGGAAACAUCGAGUCGGAUCUUCAGGCUGGCGCCGUGGCGGGAUUCAAACUUCUCUGGGUGCUGCUCUGGGCCACGGUGUUGGGCUUGCUCUGCCAGCGACUGGCUGCACGUCUGGGCGUGGUGACAGGCAAGGACUUGGGCGAGGUCUGCCAUCUCUACUACCCUAAGGUGCCUCGCACCGUCCUCUGGCUGACCAUCGAGCUAGCCAUUGUGGGUUCCGACAUGCAGGAAGUCAUCGGCACGGCCAUUGCAUUCAAUCUGCUCUCAGCUGGACGAAUCCCACUCUGGGGUGGCGUCCUCAUCACCAUCGUGGACACCUUCUUCUUCCUCUUCCUCGAUAACUAUGGGUUGCGGAAGCUGGAAGCUUUUUUUGGACUCCUUAUAACCAUUAUGGCCUUGACCUUUGGCUAUGAGUAUGUGGUGGCGCGUCCUGAGCAGGGAGCGCUUCUUCGGGGCCUGUUCCUGCCCUCGUGCCCGGGCUGCGGCCACCCCGAGCUGCUGCAGGCGGUGGGCAUUGUUGGCGCCAUCAUCAUGCCCCACAAUAUCUACCUGCACUCGGCCCUGGUCAAGUCUCGAGAUAUAGACCGGGCCCGCCGAGCGGACAUCAGAGAAGCCAACAUGUACUUCCUGAUUGAGGCCACCAUCGCCCUGUCCGUCUCCUUUAUCAUCAACCUCUUUGUCAUGGCUGUCUUUGGGCAGGCCUUCUACCAGCAAACCAACCAGGCUGCGUUCAACAUCUGUGCCAAGAGCAGCCUCCACGACUACGCCAAGAUCUUCCCCAUGAACAACGCCACCGUGGCCGUGGACAUUUACCAGGGGGGCGUGAUCCUGGGCUGCCUGUUCGGCCCCGCGGCCCUCUACAUCUGGGCCAUAGGUCUCCUGGCGGCUGGGCAGAGCUCCACCAUGACGGGCACCUACGCGGGACAGUUCGUGAUGGAGGCUGGAGUGCAAUGGCGCGAUCUCCGGCUCACCGCAACCUCCGCCUCCUGGGUUCAAGCAAUUCUCCUGCCUCAGCAUCCUGACCAGCUGGGAUUACAGGCCACCACACCCAGCUAAUUUUGUAUUUUUAGUAAAGACGGGGUUUCUCCAUGUUGGUCAGGGUGGUCUCGAACUCCCAGCCUCAGGAGAUCUGCCCGCCUCGGCCUCCCAAAGUGCUGGAAUUACAGGCGUGAGCCACCGCGCCUGGCUCUUUCUUUCUUUUUUGAGGCAGGAUUUCACUCUGUUGCUCAGGGUGGAGUGCAAUGGCACCAUCACAGCUCGCUGCAGCCUCAACUUCAGCCUCCCGAGUCAUUGGGACUACAGGCUCAUGCCACCACACCAGGCUAAUUUUUAAAAUUAUUUGUAGAGAUGUGGUCUUCCUAUGUUUCCCAGGCUGGUCUCGAACUCCUGGGCUCAAGUGAUCUUCCCGCCUUGGCUUCCCAAAGUGCUGGGAUUACAGACGUGAGCCACCCCACUCAGCU